rnacentral:rRNA from 1 species
GACGAACGCUGGCGGCGUGCUUAACACAUGCAAGUCGAACGGAAAGGCCCUGCUUUUGUGGGGUGCUCGAGUGGCGAACGGGUGAGUAACACGUGAGUAACCUGCCCUUGACUUUGGGAUAACUUCAGGAAACUGGGGCUAAUACCGGAUAGGAGCUCCUGCUGCAUGGUGGGGGUUGGAAAGUUUCGGCGGUUGGGGAUGGACUCGCGGCUUAUCAGCUUGUUGGUGGGGUAGUGGCUUACCAAGGCUUUGACGGGUAGCCGGCCUGAGAGGGUGAACGGCCACAUUGGGACUGAGAUACGGCCCAGACUCCUACGGGAGGCAGCAGUGGGGAAUAUUGCACAAUGGGAGGAAGCCUGAUGCAGCAACGCCGCGUGCGGGAUGACGGCCUUCGGGUUGUAAACCGCUUUCGCCUGUGACGAAGCGUGAGUGACGGUAAUGGGUAAAGAAGCACCGGCUAACUACGUG